UAUUUAUUAGAUAACAGACCAAUAUUCCUCGUGUCUAUUGUGGUGACUCAUAGUAACUGAUCGGAUCGCAUGGCCUUGUGCCGCGACUAACCAUUCAAGUUUCUGACCCAUCAGCUUUCGAUGGUAGUGUAUUGGACUACCAUGGCUUUCACGAGUAACGGAGGAUUAGGGUUCGAUUCCGGAGAGGGAGCCUGAGAAACGGCUACCACAUCUAAGGAAGGCAGCAGGCGCGUAAAUUACCCAAUCCUGACUCAGGGAGGUAGUGACAAGAAAUAACGGGUCGGGGCAUUCGCCUCGGGAUUGCAAUGAAUCGAAUUUACACCCCUUAAUGAGGAUCAAUUGGAGGGCAAGUCUGGUGCCAGCAGCCGCGGUAAUUCCAGCUCCAAUAGCGUAUAUUAAAGUUGUUGCAGUUAAAAAGCUCGUAGUUUGAUUUCUGGACGGGCGCCAACACCCGCUUGUUUAGUGUGGAGGCGGCGCCCGCCCAUCCUUCUGUUAACGCCACCGGCAUUAUUUGCUGGAGGCGGGCUCAGAUUUUUACCUUGAGAAAUUAGAGUGUUCACGCAUGCUUGCACCGAG
rnacentral:rRNA from 1 species